UUAAGUGAUGAUAGCCUAGGGGAGACACCUGUAUCCAUGCCGAACACAGCAGUUAAGCCCUAGCACGCCUGAAGUAGUUGGGGGUUGCCCCC
rnacentral:rRNA from 1 species